rnacentral:rRNA from 1 species
CGGACGGGUGAGUAACGCGUGGGUAACCUGCCUUAUACCGGGGGAUAACAGCCAGAAAUGACUGCUAAUACCGCAUAAGCGCACAGAACCGCAUGGUUCCGUGUGAAAAACUCCGGUGGUAUAAGAUGGACCCGCGUUGGAUUAGCUAGUUGGCAGGGCAGCGGCCUACCAAGGCGACGAUCCAUAACCGGCCUGAGAGGGUGAACGGCCACAUUGGGACUGAGACACGGCCCAG